UACUGCGCAGGCGCCACGCAGGUCCCGCCCCGCAGUGACACCGCCAAUCAGCACGCGGACAGGGAGCCUAGCCAGCUGUGGCAUGAGGCUAUCGCGCUCCGCGCUGGCGUGCUUUAGCUGUGUCGCCCCCUGUCUCGUGGGGGGUCUUCCUCCUGAGCCUGUCACCAUGUCCACGCUUGGAUUCCGAGAUGCUCGUCCAGUGCCGGACCCGUGUUCCACUUACCCCCAGUCUCACAACAUUCAUAUUCUAAUCCGGCGUCCACAUCCGGUACCACUGCCAGUGACCACCCGCCUACAUAUCCCAGGUCCCAUCUAAUGCUUUUCUGACUCCUCUGAAUCCGGGGAUACGCCUCAUUUUUCCCUUGUCCAGCUUAGUCUAACCACCAUCUUUCGCCUGGGAGUCCAGGACCUUCCUAAGAAACCUCUCGCCCUCCUGUUGUCCCUCCCCAUAUGACCCCUUUCUCUUCCCAGCCAGAGGGUCCAGGUAGCGCUGCCCCCUGGUUUCAUUGCUCCCCUAGGGCAGAGCCUGGCCGGUCCAGGGCAGGUACUUAAGACUGCUGCAUGAGUGGACAGUUGUGGCCGGUACCGUAAGCAGGCUGGACCUCCUGGCCGCCCGACCUAAUGUUUGUUUUCUGGGUGAGUUAAGAGAAUGCCGGUGGUAAGGCCCUAGGUUCCACCCUGGGAGACAGAGGGGUGGUCUGCACACCUGGUUCUCCCCUGCAGGUGUCUUCAGCCCCAGACCCCGUGAUUUCAUGCUCUGGUUGGAGGCAGGUCCUGGGCGAGGAAACCCAAGCCCACAGUAGGCAGGUGUCUUCAGGCAUCAAGGAGAGGCUUUGUGAAAGAAGACACAGUGAGAAGGCAGCUGUCUGCAAGCCAGGAAUUGGGUCCUUACAGAAACCAACCCUGCCAAAACCUUGAUCUCAGACUUCCAGCCUCCACAACUGUGAGAAACUUGAAACUACCUUAGACACCUAAAUUCUGUUGUUUGAGCCAUCCAGUCUGUGGCGUUUUGUUAUGGUAGCCCGCGCAGACUAACAUAACAGCUAUUUUCACAAA